GUCGGAGUCAAGCUUCUUAGAAAUGGACGUGCUUCUUCCGGGAUCUCUUUCUCCUUCCACCAGCUAAAUGCAGAUAGCAACAACCACACAGUGGGGACACAGAGAAGUGAAGCCUGGGGCCCUGAAUGAUCACAUGGAAGAGACUCACCCUUCUGGUUUCAAUAUUUGACUUAUAGUGGUACUGUCCCACACUGCUGGCAACCCCAGAAGUGCCAUCAGUGACCCCGAACCCUGCUGAAGGCCUACACCUGCUGAAGAAGCUCAUGCCCAGUUUGAACCCACUCAUGACUGAGCCCAAGGACAGUCUUGUCUGUGCCAAGGGUCCUGGCGGCUGCGUUGAAGGACUGAAGGGAAAAAAAAAAUCACCAUUUUGCUUUCUCCACUCUUGACUGUGAAGUUUAAUAUAAGGUAUGGCUCAGUCUUUGUGAUGAUUCAUAACCUGGCUCUAACCAACAAACCAUUGGACCAUCCUGCGCCUCAUCUCUCUCCCCUACAGAGUCUCUCCUUACCUGUCUGGCUUUUGGGUUCCUUACACGUGGUCUCCCCAGAAAGCACUGAGGACUCUGAUUCAUCAUGUCAAGCGGUCAAUUAGAAUCCGGGAAAGCCUCUCUCUGGCCUCACCUUACUUCCUGUACCAGGAGAGAUGCUCAUCAAUAGUGAGAAAGAGUUGAUGGGAUUAGAGUCUGGAAGUGACAACCUCUCCUGAACCUGAACUCAUUGAUUUCUUCGUUUUACAAAACAGUGUUCUUGAAAAAAAUAAACAAAAAAAGGAAAUAAUACAACUAAGAACUCCAAGGUCUAAAUUUUAACCAGCUGUAUCUCAUAACAACAGAAGCUGCAAUGGCCAACAUACGUCAUUUAUAAAACGCCAACUUAUGUGGAUGGGGAUUGGGAUUUAUUGGCCUAAUGCAAAGAGCAUAUAAAAAAUGAGUAGGGAAAAGACUACUGUUUGUGUAUAUAUGUAAUUAUUACAUAUAUUCUUAAAUGAUAUUUAAUAAAUAAUCAAAUGAUUAAAUAAUA
rnacentral:lncRNA from 10 species